rnacentral:lncRNA from 1 species
GCACAACAGAAAUGGAAUUCAUGUUGCAAGCAGGUUGCUCAUAGAAGCCAGGUUUGAGGUAGACCUAAGAGCUGAUGAAGCUCUGAAGUGUUGCUAAGCCCCUGCCUGUGCCACUAAUACACUGGGGUUAGUGGGGGCAUCCCAGCCCUCCUGGAGUCUGAAAAUAAAGCUGGUAAAGAGGCCAGGCAUUGUUUUUGAAGUUAUCUGUAGUUGGAUUGACUAUGAUCAAUCCUAACAGCAGAAGCAGAGAAAAUUUUUGCGUUGGCUAUGGAGAAGGUGUGAAUGGGAACACAAGGUGUGGCAGAUCUGCUGCAAUGAUGAAUGUUUCAGGCAUUGCAUGAUUCCACAUCAGCAGCUCAGCACAGUGGUCCUUCAUCUAAAGGCUUCUGCAUUUCUUCUAACUGAAACAUCUUGAGAGCCAGGAGAUCAGAGAUAACACAGGGCCUCACAACACCUGGCAGCACAAGCGGGAAAUGAAUGAAUGAGAUGCAAAUUGGACAUCUUGACUAGAAAAGAUGGGCUACUUCCUUCUGAAGAUGGCAUCAUGGAUGGCACACCAAAGCUGGCACAGAUGGAUUCAGUGGAGCCAACCCUGAUGAACUGUAAAGAAAAUCCCGUACCUCACAGACAGAGCAGAAGAUUUUCAAAAUUAAGAGUGGCCAUUUUACAAGUGACUUGUGAGCAUUCCUGUGCAACUGUGCUGCUAACAGAUGUCCUUAGAAUUGUUCUCGCAGGACCCUUGGAACGGAAUGCACACAUGGCCCAAAGUGCAACCAGACACUCAGUGCAGUGCAGGCUGAUUUAAUCCUGGGCAAGUGACUUUAUAGAGUUAGGUCAUUUUAUGUCUUAGACCUCAGUGAAGCCAAUGAGAAUGGAACUGAAAUUCAGACUAAUCACAGCAAAAAUUAUUAAUAUCUUAGAAUCAUGGAAUCAUAGAAUCACGGAAUCGCUAAGGUUGGAAAAGACCCACAGGAUCAUCCAGACCAACCAUUUGCCCUUCACCAAUGGUUCUCACUAAACCAUGUCCCUCAACACAACAUCCAAACGCUCUUUAAACACCACCAGGCUUGAUGACUCCACCACCUCUCUGGGCAGCCCAUUCCAGUGCUGACCACCCUUUCAGAGAAGUAGUAUUUCCUAACGUCCAGCCUGAAUCUUCCCUGGCGCAGCUUGAAGCCAUUCCCUCUAGUCCUAUCACUAGUCACACGAGAGAAGAGGCUGACCCCCAGCUCACUACAACCUCCCUUCAGGUAGUUAUAGAGAGCAAUAAGGUCUCCCCUGAGCCUCCUCUUCUCUAGACUGAACAAUCCCAGCUCCUUCAGCUGCUCUUCAUAAGGUCUGUGCUCCAGACCCCUCACCAGCUUUGUUGCCCUUCUCUGGACACGCUCCAGGGCCUCAAUGUCUUUCUUACAGCGAGGGGCCCAAAACUGGACACAGUACUCGAGGUGCAGUACCCCCAGUGCUGAGUACAGGGGGACAAUAACUUCCCUGUUCCUGCUGGCCACACUAUUUCUGAUACAAGCCACAGUGCCAUUGGCCUUCUUGGCCACCUGGGCACACUGCUGGCUCACGUUCAGUCUAGCGUCAAUCAACACCCCCAGGUCCAUUUCCUCUACACAGUCUUCCAGCCACUCUGCCCCAAGCCUGUAGCAUUGCCUGGGGUUAUUGUGGUCAAAGUGCAGGACCCGGCAUUUGGUCUUGUUGAAUCCCAUCCCAUUGGCUUCAGCCCAGCUAUCCAACCUAUCCAGAUCCCUCUGUAGGGCCUUGCUACCCUCAGGCAGAUCGGCAUUUUCAGCCAGCUUGGUGUCAUCUGCAAAUUUACUGAGACUUUUUUUUUUUUAAUUGAACUUCUUACAAUUAAUUUGCCUUUUCAGACAUUUCCUUACAUAAAACAUUUGAGGGGAUUAUUAAAAGUGUUUCAAAUCCAAAUGCAUAAAGAGAUGUAUUAGAUCAUAUUACAGACUCCCAUUUGUGGGUGGUAUACCUAGAAUGUCAUGAUCCCAGUCUUUUAGUUCAGCACCCUCCCAAGGACAGAAUGUGAGCCUUCCAGUAGUCCCGUUCCAACAAGACUGCUUCCUUGAAAAGUAUCUUAGCUGUGAUUUAAAGUCUUUAAAGAGAAGAAGGAAUGAAAAAUCCCAAUGGUUGGACUCCUACACAUUUGUCAACGACACUGAGUUCCUUUGGUGUCAGACUUCAGCUGGAAAAUGAUUGAACAGUUCUGUCGCCUUCCAAUUUUUUCAUAUACUACCUGUUUUCUUUGGUGGACAUUUCUCCAAGACAUCUUUAUAUAUAUUUUAGAGUCAACUCUUCCUACCAAAAUUUCUUGACAUUUUCUUGAUUUCUGAACCCAAACAUGAAGAACUCAAGGCAACCAGCACCUGGAAUGUCCCAUUUACCUUUUUUCUUGUUAAGCCACAGUCAGCAAAAUAUCUACUACUGCUUGCUAGUGCUUUUCUGAGUCAGUUUUCCAGUUAAUUGUAGUCUGGCCUGUGAGAACACAUUUACAGACUUUGACUGUAAGCACAGUAUUCAUAUUUGGUAUUUUAUCCAUCUAGGUUCAUAUUUGGUAUUUUAUCCAUCUAGGUUCAUCUACUGAUACAGUCAAGUUUACUAAACAUCGUUCUGUCUUACUAUUGUUUACCUGACCUUCACUCUAUGUAUCUCAUAACAACUUUGUGAAGAGUUGUUUUUUCAUCUCUUUGACCAUUGAUAGAAACAGAAAAUAGCAUGGGGACAGACCCUGUGGCGUCUUGCUGGAAGUUUACUUGGAAAAUUAUGAUUAUUAAUUCAAAGAUUAUCUAAGCUAGGCGGGUUAGUUUUCUUCCAUUUUACUGUAUGCUGUGUAUGCUGUGCUGAUUUUUUUUUUCCAUUUGUUGUAAUUUCUCAUGGAUUUUUUUGUUUCUUUUGUCAGUGUUCUAUGUGUAUAUUCAAACACAAAUGAACUGUCUGAUUUUACUUCUAAGCAAGAUUCUCAGGAGUUUUGAGCCUUCCUUGACCGAUAAUGUGUUUUUGGCUAUUUUAAGGAAAGCUUAAAUCUGAUCCAAUAAUUGUAUUUUCACAUUUCUUUCCAAGUAAUUUGGAUUGUGGCUCUUUCAGUUUGUAAAACAGCCUUCUAAGAAACUGUAUAUAUAAUAAUAAUAAUAAGGUGAACUUCAUAUUGCCUGAACCCAAGAAAUCCAAUUAAGUAAGACUAAGCCAAUUAAGUAUCUAAGCCAUUACUAAAAU